CCUCUCUACCCCAGGGUAGGGGUAAGGUCUGCGUACACACUACCCUCUCCAGACCCCACUAAGUGGGAUUAUACUAGGUUGUUGUUGUUGUUGUUGAAAUGGCAAACUUUGGUCAAUAUACUAAUAACAUUUUCCUUUGAACGUGCGAGAAAAUAUUGGUCCAAGAAUCCUCUCUUUUGUGAUUGCUUCUAGUUAUCUUCUCACGUAAAGUUGGAAAUAGUGGAAAAAGUGCUAAUUCUUGGUUGGAAAUUUGGUUUUCGAUUAAAGUGUGUUCCAGCAGUCAUUUCAUG
rnacentral:lncRNA from 1 species